GUGUGUGUGUGUCUGCGCUGAGGCUGUGUGUGUGUGUCUGCUCUGAGGAUGUGUGUCUGUGUUGAGGAUGUGUGUGUGUGUGUGUGAUGUGUGUGUGUGUCCUGUAAAACUUGUUCGGUCUUUUCUGCCUUCAUUGAAAUCGAUGUCACCUACCAUUUAAUGUCCUUGAUGUGGCAAGAGGGACAUCAGGAAGAUGCAGUGCAUGAUGGGACGGGAUGGGAUCUUAAGGCCAGCUGCAGUGCAUGAUGGGAUGGGAUCUUAAGGCCAGCUGCAGUGCAUGAUGGGACGGAUCUUAAGGCCAGCUG
ensembl:lncRNA